CUACCCUUCGGAACACAAUACCCUCGGGAAACUGAGGCUAAUAGUGUAUACCACAGUCCACCUGGAAUGAGGACUGUGCCAAACGCUCCGGCGCCGAAGGAUGUGGCUGCGGCCGAUUAGGUAGACGGUGGGGUAACGGCCCACCGUGCCAAUAAUCGGUACGGGUCAUGAGAGUGAGAACCCGGAGACGGAAUCUGAGACAAGAUUCCGGGCCCUACGGGGCGCAGCAGGCGCGAAACCUUUACACUGCACGACAGUGCGAUAAGGGAAUCCCAAGUGCGUAGGCAUAGAGCCUACGCUUUUGUCCACCCUAGGGCGGUGGACGAAUAAGGGCUGGGCAAGACCGGUGCCAGCCGCCGCGGUAAUACCGGCAGCCCAAGUGAUGGCCGAUUUUAUUGGGCCUAAAGCGUCCGUAGCUGGCCGCACAAGUCCAUCGGAAAAUCCACCCGCUCAACGGGUGGGCGUCCGGUGGAAACUGUGUGGCUUGGGACCGGAAGGCGCGACGGGUACGUCCGGGGUAGGAGUGAAAUCCCGUAAUCCUGGACGGACCGCCGAUGGCGAAAGCACGUCGCGAGAACGGAUCCGACAGUGAGGGACGAAAGCUAGGGUCUCGAACCGGAUUAGAUACCCGGGUAGUCCUAGCCGUAAACAAUG
rnacentral:rRNA from 1 species